UGCGCUGCAUGGUGGAGGCGCGGGCGGGCGGGGGUAACCGGCGCGGACGCCGAGACAGUGCCUGGCAGCGGGACCUGGCUACCCUGGACAGCGCAUCGCCGCCCGCCUGGGUUGCCGCGCCACAGCCGCUGCGGAUCAUGCAUUGCCACAAGACAUCCAAAUGACCAAUAUGAGACUGCAUGAGGCUCGUACUCACCAGCCGAAACAGAAGAUGACGAAAUAGAUGCCAAAGAUGGCGGCAACCGCGUGCCUGACAUCAGAGCUGGUUUGACCAGGACAUUUCCACAUCAAGAUGCUUCUCAGACUUGGAUUUGUUCUUUCUCCCCAGUAGACUGUUUGGAGGAAGAAAUGAAUAUAACAGAACAAGAUAACUAUACCCUUGUGUGGUAUAAAAAGCAGCAAACCCAACAGUUUCUUCUCUAACCUUCAAGACUGGCCGAGGUUGUUCUCCCACCCACAAGCAGGGGGCUUUUCACGGAAACAGCCUAAGCUAACUGUGAGCCCUGUUUACUGGGUCUCUUUUCUCACCCCCAGCAGGACCCUAAGACAAGGAAGGCGUUCUUUCAGAGAUGCAAAGUUUAACAGAGAAGCUCCCUUAUUUGGUACCUAGAAAAUCAAACUGUUCUCCAAAGUGAUCACCAGUUGUUUCCUGACUCUGAGAAUGACUCGCAUUCCCUAAGACAGGUACUAAACCCAUCGUUCUGCUCUAGCAAAAUCCAGGACUUCCAUCAAUGUCUCAUUCUAAAUUGGCAUCCAAUAAAGAAGAGCGUUCCUCAAAUUCCAGGUGUGACACUGAAGAUCUAAAAGAGUGACAGAGCUCUGCAUUCCACGUCCAAUGCCAAGCCCGUCUAGUGACGCAAGGUAUCACCAAAUUUCCUUAGAAAAACCUCAGUGGUCCACCUCUUGAGAAUAUUGUGCCUAAAACAUGUGAAAAUGUCCUGAAAUGUACAGAAAAGGUCAGCUGAUUUUAUAAAACAAAAAACAAACAUGUACCUUUGCAGUUUAAAUUUACUCAAAUCAAAUUCUAAAUACAUUAAGUGAUUUAACCAUUCAUUUAAAUCAGAAAAGUAACUUAAACCCUGGGAGGUAGGAGUGGAGCGAGCAGACACGAGCUUAAUUUGCGCUCAUUUUGCUUGCCCAACAAAAAACAAUACUUUAGACCCUUUAUAACUCAUAGAAAAUGUUGCUUUCAGAAAAUUUUUGUUUUUGUUUUGAGACAGAGUCUCACUCUGUCAUCCAGGCUCGAGUGCAGGGGUGUGAUCUCCACUCACUGCAACCUCCACCUCCCGGGUUCAAGAAGUUUUCCUGCCUCAGCCUCCUGAGUAGCUGGGACUACAGGUGUGUGCCACUGCACCUGGCUCAUUUUUUUUUUUUUAAUUUCUAGUAGAGACGGGGUUUCACCAUGUUGGCCAGGCUGGUCUCGAACUCCUAACAUCAGGUGAUCCACCCACCUUGGCCUCCCAAAGUGCUGGGAUUACAGGUGUGAGCACCACACCCAGUACUUGUUUUGGUUUUUUAAAAGUUGACUGUAGGCCAGGUGUGGUGGCUCACAUCUAUAAUCCCAGCACUUUGGGAGGCUGAGGCGGGCGGAUCACCUGAGGUCAGGAGUUUGAGACCAGCCUGGUCAACAUGAUGAAACCCUGUCUCUACUAAAAAUACAAAAAUUAGCCAGGCUUGGUGGUGGGUGCCUGUAACCCAAGCUACUCAGGAAGCUGAGGCGGGAGAAUCACAUGAACCUGGGAGGCAGAGGUUGCAGUGAGCUGAGAUUGUGCCACUGCACUCCAGCCUGGGCAACAGAAUGAGACUUAAUUUCAAAAAACAAAAAUUAGUAAUAAUAAAAUAAAACAAAUAAAUCAAUAUUUAAAAAAUAAUAGUUGACCAUAGUGUGUUUCACCUUUCCAAAAACCUGUUCUCACCACUGCCCAUGUUCACUUUCUACCUUGAAAGACAGAGAAGUGACUUGCAAACCUACCCUGCAGGAUUUGGUCAUAACUUUUCAUCUAGGCUGAAUGAACAGCCAACAAAAACACACAACACACAUUAUAUACAGAAAAAAGAUCACCUUAGUAAGGUUCAAAAUGUAAAGGAAUUGGCAACUGGGAAGUCCGAAAGUUAUCAUCAUAGGAGACAGAUCACUUAUGAUAUUUAUAGCUUAUUUUUUCGUAUGUAGUAGAGAUGGGGUUUCACCAUGUUAGACAGGCUGGUUGUAAACUUCUGACCUCAGGUGAUCUACCCACCUUGGCCUCACAAAGUGCUGGGAUUACAGGCAUGCACCACCACGCCUGGCCCACAAUUUUUUUAAAAAAGGUCCAGGCUGGAGUGUGAUAUGAAUUUCUUUGUGUUGGCUGGCUCAUAUCUACACCGGUGGCUGGUGGAGAAUAUAACCAUCUCUGCAGCCAAGUGCAGGUGGCUCCCAUCACAAAUCAUAUAGGCACAGAGUUAAAUUUUUUUCCUUUCCUCUACAAAGGGUCAACAAAAUCAGAGGCCUGAUGUAGAUUGUGUACAGAAUAAAUGCAUUAGGCCAGGCACGGUGGCUCAAGCCUGUAAUCCCAGCACUUUGGGAGGCCAAGGCGGGUGGAUCAUGAGGUCAAGAGAUCCAGACCAUCCUGGUCAACAUGGUGAAACCCCGUCUCUACUAAAAAUACAAAAAAUUAGCUGGGCACGGUGGCACGUACCUGUAAUCCCAGCUACUCGAGAGGCUGAGGCAGGAUAAUUGCCUGAACCCAGGAGGCGGAGGUUGCGGUGAGCCAAGGUCACGCCAUUGCACUCCAGCCUGGGUAACAAGAGCGAAACUCUGUCUUGGGAAAAAAAAAAACAAAAACCCUGCAUGCUCUGCACGUGCACCCAGAAUUUAAAGUAUAAUUUUAAAAAUAAAAUAAAAGGAAGAUAUUGUGUUAAAUGAUAUAAGCCAGGCACAGAGAGAUAAAUAUAUGUGGAAUCUACAAGGUCAGAAAAGGAGAGUGUUAAACAGUGGUUAUGAGAAGCUGGGGGUGGGAGGAGGUAGAGGAAAAAGGGGAGACACUGAUCAAUGGGUACAAAGUUACUCUUUGAGGUGAUAGGUUAUGUUAAUUAAUAAAUAUAUGUGGAAUCUACAAGGUCAGAAAAGGAGAGAGUUAAACAGUGGUUAUGAGAGGCUGGGGGUGGGAGGAGGUAGAGGAAAAAGGGGAGACACUGAUCAAUGGGUACAAAGUUACUCUUUGAGGUGAUAGGUUAUGUUAAUAAAUAUAUGUGGAAUCUACAAGGUCAGAAAAGGAGAGUGUUAAACAGUGGUUAUGAGAGGCUGGGGGUGGGAGGAGGUAGAGGAAAAAGGGGAGACACUGAUCAAUAGGUACAAAGUUACUCUUUGAGGUGAUAGGUUAUGUUAAUUAGCCUGAUUUGAUCAUUUCACAAUAUACACAUGUAUCAAAACAUCACACUGUACCCUAUAAAUAUAUACAUUAUCAGUCAAUUAAAAGUAAAAUAAAACUUACAAAACAUAUUAUCAUGAUGUUCCUUAAUAAACCCUUCACGUUUAAAAGGAACAUGCGCAAAGGUCACCUGUCUACUGAUCCACUCCCUUCGAAGCAGCAAACAAAGUGGCACGUUCAUUCCCGACAUGCAGCAAUGUGCUCUCAACAGUUAAAGCAUCGUGUGGGCCUCUGUGCAUGAAGGGACAGUGGAGCUCAGCUAUUUUGAUCAGAUUCUUACAAACAAGCAAGACUGACAUCACUCGGAUUCAGCAAAAGCUCAAUUUCCACAGCUCUAGCAAGAUUUCCAAAGUCACUGCAAGGAAACAAAACACAUGGCCAAGCGCUUGACUUCUUACGUCAUCAAACCACAAUCAAACUGUGCUGCACCUUUCAAACGCAAGCCUUAAAUCCACUCUAAUGGGCUGCUAGAAAGACAUUAUUUGGGGAUUUCUGUUCCAUGUCCUUCGGGCUCUUCCAAAAAAACAACACACUUUGCCAGGAGUUAAAAACAUUGCCUUUCUCCUAAGCAAGAGACGUAAACGGGCUAUUUUUAACAAAUAGCAAAUAUCAACGGUCUAAAAGUAUUUCCCCUACUGCAGUGACUCCCCAGUGAGCAACAGGCAACUGUCCAGGCCUGGAAUGUCCAGUACACCCAACUAAAAUGUUUCUGUACAACAAAGGAAAAAAUUAACAGAGUGAAGAGACAACCCACACAUUGGGAGAAAAUAUUUGCAAAUCACAGGGGCUAAUAUUCAAAAUAUGCAAAGAACUCCAACUGCUUAAUAACAAGAAAAUAAACACUCGGCAACACUGCCUUAUAUGCUCCAAGGCAAAACCAAUCCAGUUAAACAAUCCCUUAUUUAAGGCCAAGCCAUUCCUCCCCCACAAACAGGAGUCCUUUGCAUUGCCUCCUCCAAAUAAACGUAGCUGGGAAAGAGUACUAAAAAUGCUAUUCCUUCCAGUACCAUAGAACAAAAAGUGGCUGUAGGAUACUCUUCAGUGACUUUACACUUUCAAAGGGAUCCUUUGUUACACGUUCAUUUCAACACUCCUCAGAAUGUUAGUAGGAAGCAUGUUAAAAUCUCUAAAUAGCCUUCUUUUUCCAAGUUUGUGGACAAGCAAAUAUUAUUUAAGAUUGAUAAUUGGCUGGGCGCUGUGACUCAUGCCUGUAAUCCCAGCACUUUGGGAGGCCAAGGAAGGCAGAUCAGGAGGUCAGGCGAUUGAGACCAUUUCGGCCAACAUGGUGAAACCCCAUCUCUACUAAAAAUACAAAAAUUAGCUGAGUGUGGUGGUGUGUUCCUGCUACCCAGCUACUCAGGAGGCCGAGGCAAGAGAAUCACUUGAAUCAGAGAGUCGAAGGUUGCGGUGAGCUAAGAUCACACCACUACACUCCAGCCUGGUGACAGAACAAAACUCCAUCUCAAAAAAAAGAAAAAGGAAAGAUUGAUAACCAAUAUAUACAAUUUAUAGCCCAAAAAACAAACAAAAAUAAACAUCUAAUUCAAGGAUCCCCAACCACCCAGCCACAGACCAGUACUGGUCCACAGCCUGUUAGGAACUGGGCCACACAGCAGAAGUUGAGUGUAGGUGGCCCAGAGAAGCUUCAUCUGUAUUUACAGCCACUCCCCAUCACCUGCAUUACCACCUGAACUCCACCCCCUGUCAGAUCGGCAGUGACAUUAGAUUCUCACAGGAGCGUAAGCCCUAUGGUGACCCGCACAUGCCAGGGAUGUAGGCUGCACUUAUCAGAAUGCCUGAUGAUCUGUCACUGUCUCCCAUCACCCCCAGAUGGGACCAUCUAGUUGCAGGAAAACAAACUCAGGGCUCCCUCUGAUUCUACAUCAUGGUGAGUUGUAUAAUUAUUUCAUUAUAUAUUACAAUGUGACAAUAACAGAAAUAAAGUGUGCAGUAAACAUAA